rnacentral:rRNA from 1 species
GAUGAACGCUGGCGGCGUGCUUAACACAUGCAAGUCGAACGAAGCACUUUAUUUGAUUUCCUUCGGGACUGAUUAUUUUGUGACUGAGUGGCGGACGGGUGAGUAACGCGUGGGUAACCUGCCUUGUACAGGGGGAUGACAGUUGGAAACGGCUGCUAAUACCGCAUAAGCGCACGGCAUCGCAUGAUGCAGUGUGAAAAACUCCGGUGGUAUAAGAUGGACCCGCGUUGGAUUAGCUGGUUGGUGAGGUAACGGCCCACCAAGGCGACGAUCCAUAGCCGAACUGAGAGGGUGACCGGCCACAUUGGGACUGAGACACGGCCCAAACUCCUACGGGAGGCAGCAGUGGGGAAUAUUGCACAAUGGGCGAAAGCCUGAUGCAGCGACGCCGCGUGAGCGAAGAAGUAUUUCGGUAUGUAAAGCUCUAUCAGCAGGGAAGAUAAUGACGGUACCUGACUAAGAAGCACCGGCUAAAUACGUG